GAGGAUGUAGCUCAAAUGGAUAGAGCACUUGUUUCCGAUGCAAGCGGUUACAGGUUCAACUCCUGUCAUCCUCG
rnacentral:tRNA from 1 species